rnacentral:sRNA from 1 species
GCUGGGUGUGGUGGCACAUGUCUGUAAUCCCAGCAGCUCAGGAGGCUGAGACAGGAGGAUCAAGAGUUUAAAGCCAGCCUCAGCAAACUCGAGGCACUAAGCAACUCAGUGAGACCCUGUCUCUA